AAACGGGAAGACCUUUACUUAUUCUUAACUUCCAGAAAAUUUGCCAGGGAUGUUUUGGUCCUUUCGGAAAUUUUAAACCAGGUGUUGCAUGGCGGUGUUCAGCUCGUGUUGGGAAAUGUUGGGUUAAUUCCCGCAAGGAGCCCAACCUUUUUCUUUUUUUCCCAGCGGUUAGGCCGGGAACUCAAAGGAGACUGCCAGUGAUAAACCGGAGGAAGGUGGGGAUGACGUCAAGUCAUCAUGGCCCUUACGAGUAGGGCUACACACGUGCUACAAUGGCGCAUACAAAGAGAAGCGACCUCGCGAGAGCAAGCGGACCUCAUAAAGUGCGUCGUAGUCCGGAUUGGAGUCUGCAACUCGACUCCCAUGAAGUGCGGAAUCGCUAGUAAUCGUAGAUCAGAUGCACCAUCCC
rnacentral:rRNA from 1 species